UACGAAGGGGGGCUAGCGUUGCUCGGAAUCACUGGGCGUAAAGGGCGCGUAGGCGGCCAUUCAAGUCGGGGGUGAAAGCCUGUGGCUCAACCACAGAAUUGCCUUCGAUACUGUUUGGCUUGAGUUUGGUAGAGGUUGGUGGAACUGCGAGUGUAGAGGUGAAAUUCGUAGAUAUUCGCAAGAACACCAGUGGCGAAGGCGGCCAACUGGACCAAUACUGACGCUGAGGCGCGAAAGCGUGGGGAGCAAACAGG
rnacentral:rRNA from 1 species